AUGUAAAAAAACGUAGGUACGUAAACCGUUACAACUAAGUCAAAUACCUACGUAACUAUGUAAAUUUGGCAACAUUGCACUAAAUUCUUAGGUACAAAACCUACGGAAUCAUGAACGGAAUAGUGUUCUGCACUUCUAAAUCGAAUAAAGAAGGUGGAAAUCGGAAACGCGUACCUAUACAAGCUACGAAAAAAUAGGCAGUUACAAGAUUUUUAACAUCAAAAAUCAGAGCAGAAAAAAAAUUAUAACAUUAAGUCUAUGUUAAGUCAAAAACCCUAAAAAUACAUUGAGUUAUACGGCGAAGAGAGAUAUUCAUAUCCGAGUCUUAACCUCUUAAAGUUAUAAAAAUUGAAAUUUAAGUGCUCAAGACGGUCGGGGCUUCGUGUUUGUUUUAUAUUCGUGCCUGUACGUACUACGUAGAUUUUAUUUCCCGUCACGCGUCACUAUAUUGAGCGCCGAGGUGAGCUGAAGCGAGACACGUUGGACAACACCCGGUCACUGCAGUGUUCUGAGUGGCAUUUUUUUUUACUUUCAAACAUUGGUUGUAUUGCUAAAUACUAAUUAGUUUCCACUUCCUGAUUUUACUGCUGUUGCUGCAGUACUACUGCUGUUAGCUUCAAACUUAUAUUGGCGAU